GAGUUUGAUCAUGGCUCAGAUUGAACGCUGGCGGCAGGCCUAACACAUGCAAGUCGAGCGGAUGACGGGAGCUUGCUCCUUGAUUCAGCGGCGGACGGGUGAGUAAUGCCUGGGAAUCUGCCUGGUAGUGGGGGACAACGUUUCGAAAGGAACGCUAAUACCGCAUACGUCCUACGGGAGAAAGCAGGGGACCUUUACGGGCCUUGCGCUAUCAGAUGAGCCUAGGUCGGAUUAGCUAGGUUGGUGGGGUAAUGGCUCACCAAGGCGACGGAUCCGUAACUGGUCUCGAGAGGAUGAUCAGUCACACUGGAACUGAGACACGGUCCAGACU
rnacentral:rRNA from 1 species